GGGUCUGUGAUGAAUACAACUGUCUGAGGACGCUGAAGUACUCAAAGCAGGUGUCAAGCUGAGAACC